rnacentral:misc_RNA from 1 species
AACGCACAUUGCGCCCCUUGGUAUUCCAUUGGGCAUGCCUGUUCGAGCGUCAUUUAACCCUUCAAGCUCACGCUUGGUGUUGGGCGUCUGUCCGCGCUUUCGGGCGUGGACUCGCCCCAAAUCCAUUGGCAGCGGCUCCGCCGGCUUCUCGCGCAGCACUUUGCGCUCAGGAAGACCUUCGGCGGGCUCGCGUCCAUCAAGUCACCCCUCAUUUUGACCUCGAAUCAGGUAGGGAUACCCGCUGAACUUAA